UACAGAGGGUGCAAGCGUUUAAUCGGAAUUACUGGGCGUAAAGCGUGCGUAGACGGUUGCGUAAGUCAGAUGUGAAAGCCCCGGGCUCAACCUGGGAAUUGCAUUUGAGACUGCGUAGCUAGGGUGCGGAAGAGGGAAGCGGAAUUUCCGGUGUAGCGGUGAAAUGCGUAGAUAUCGGAAGGAACACCAGUGGCGAAAAGCGGCUUCCUGGUCCAGCACCGACGUCAGGCACGAAAGCGUGGGGAGCAAACAGG
rnacentral:rRNA from 1 species